UACGGAGGGUGCGAGCGUUGUCCGGAAUCAUUGGGCGUAAAGGGCGCGUAGGUGGCGGGACAAGCGUGCGGUGAAAGCCUGGGGCUCAACCCCGGGUCGGCCGUGCGAACUGUUUUGCUUGAGCACUGUAGAGGCAGGCGGAAUUCCGGGUGUAGCGGUGGAAUGCGUAGAGAUCCGGAAGAACACCGGUGGCGAAGGCGGCCUGCUGGGCAGUAGCUGACACUGAGGCGCGACAGCGUGGGGAUCGAACAGG
rnacentral:rRNA from 1 species